GAUGAACGCUGGCGGCGUGCUUAACACAUGCAAGUCGAACGAAGCAUUUAGGACAGAUUACUUCGGUUUGAAGUUCUUUAUGACUGAGUGGCGGACGGGUGAGUAACGCGUGGGUAACCUGCCUUGUACUGGGUGAUAGCAGCUGGAAACGGCUGGUAAUACCGCAUAAGCGCACAAUGUUGCAUGACAUGGUGUGAAAAACUCCGGUGGUAUAAGAUGGACCCGCGUCUGAUUAGCUAGUUGGUGAGAUAACAGCCCACCAAGGCGACGAUCAGUAGCCGACCUGAGAGGGGGACCGGCUACAUUGGGAAUGAGACACGGCCCAGACUCCUACGGGAGGAAGCAGUGGGGAAUAUUGCACAAUGGAGGAAAAUCUGAUGCAGCGACGCCGCGUGAGUGAAGAAGUAAUUCGUUAUGUAAAGCUCUAUCAGCAGGGAAGAUAGUGACGGUACCUGACGAAGAAGCACCGGCUAAAUACGUG
rnacentral:rRNA from 1 species